rnacentral:misc_RNA from 2 species
AACGCACCUUGCGCCUCUUGGUAUUCCGAGAGGCAUGCCUGUUUGAGUGUCUUAUAAUAUCAAUCCCCAGUGGUUUUUCAAAGCCGCUGAUGGACUUGGAGUUGGGCGUCUGCCGGUCACACGGCUCGCCUUAAAGACGUUAGUGGGAAAGGUAGCCCACGGCUUGACGUAAUAAGUUUCGUCAGACCUGGCCGCCUAUGCCUGCUCACAACCCGCCCUCGGGCAAUUCUUUAUGCUAGACCUCAAAUCAGGUAGGACUACCCGCUGAACUUAA